AGAGUUUGAUCCUAGCUCAGGAUGAACGCUGGCGACGUGGAUAAGGCAUGCAAGUCGAACGGUUGUAGCAAUACAACAGUGGCGAACGGGUUAGUAACACGUAGAUAUCAACCCUUUACUCGGGCAUAACCUGGAGAAAUCUAGGCUAAUUCCCGAUAGUCCGGAAACGGUAAAGAUUUUUCGGUAAAGGAUGAGUCUGCGUCCUAUCAGCUAGUUGGUGAGGUAAUGGCUCACCAAGGCAAUGACGGGUAGGCGGAGUGAGAGCUUGACCGCCAACAAUGGCACUGGAACAUGGGCCAUACUCCUACGGGAGGCAGCAGUCGAGAAUAUUUGACAAUGGGCGAAAGCCUGAUCAAGCGACGUCGCGUGUGGGAUUAAGAUCUUCGGAUUGUAAACCACUUUUCUAGGGGAAGAACUUUGACUGUACCCUAGGAAUAAGGGGUGACUAAACUCGUGCCAGCAGUAGCGGUAAUACGAGUGCCCCAAGCGUUAUCCGGAUUUAUUGGGCGUAAAGGGUCUGUAGGUGGUUUGUUAAGUUUCUCGUUAAAGCUCCAGGGCUUAACCUUGGAAAAGCGGGAAAAACUGGCAAACUAGAGGAUGUUAGAGGCUGAUGGAACACUUGGUGAAGGGGUGGAAUCCGUUGAUAUCAAGUGGAACACCGAAAGCGAAGGCAAUCAGCUGGGACAGUCCUGACACUGAAAGACGAAAGCGUGGGGAGAGAAAAGGAUUAGAUACCCUUGUAUUCCACGCCUUAAACGAUGAAUACUGGCUAUUGCAAGUGUCGACCCUUGCAGUGGCGAAGCUAACGCGUUAAGUAUUCCGCCUGGGAAGUACGGCCGCAAGGCUAAAACUCAAAGGAAUAGACGGGGACCUACACAAGCGGUGGAUCACGUGGCUUAAUUCGAUAGUAAGCGAGGAACCUUACCAGGGCUUGAAAGGUUAAUGAAAGCAUUUCGAAAGAUUUGCCUACCCACAAGGACAUUAACCCAGGUGCUGCAUGGUUGUCGUCAGCAGGUGGCUUGAGUUGCUCCCUUAAAUGGGG
rnacentral:rRNA from 1 species